UACGUAGGGUGCGAGCGUUGUCCGGAAUUAUUGGGGCGUAAAGAGCUUGUAGGCGGUUUGUCGCGUCUGCUGUGAAAAUCCGGGGCUCAACCCCGGACUUGCAGUGGGUACGGGCAGACUAGAGUGUGGUAGGGGAGACUGGAAUUCCUGGUGUAGCGGUGGAAUGCGCAGAUAUCAGGAGGAACACCGAUGGCGAAGGCAGGUCUCUGGGCCACUACUGACGCUGAGAAGCGAAAGCAUGGGGAGCGAACAGG
rnacentral:rRNA from 1 species